CUACGGGGGGCUGCAGUGGGGAAUAUUGCACAAUGGGCGCAAGCCUGAUGCAGCCAUGCCGCGUGUAUGAAGAAGGCCUUCGGGUUGUAAAGUACUUUCAGCGGGGAGGAAGGGAGUAAAGUUAAUACCUUUGUUCAUUGACGUUACCCGCAGAAGAAGCACCGGCUAACUCCGUGCCAGCAGCCGCGGUAAUACGGAGGGUGCAAGCGUUAAUCGGAAUUACUGGGCGUAAAGCGCACGCAGGCGGUUUGUUAAGUCAGAUGUGAAAGCCCCGGGCUCAACCUGGGAACUGCAUCUGAUACUGGCAAGCUUGAGUCUCGUAGAGGGGGGUAGAAUUCCAGGUGUAGCGGUGAAAUGCGUAGAGAUCUGGAGGAAUACCGGUGGCGAAGGCGGCCCCCUGGACGAAGACUGACGCUCAGGUGCGAAAGCGUGGGGAGCAAACAGGAUUAGAUACCCCUGUAGUC
rnacentral:rRNA from 1 species